UUAGCCGACUGAUGGUACGGCCCGGGGGCGGGGGGGAAGAACAGCUGGGUCGCUAAUGUAUCUCUGUGGCGCUGUCCUUCGCCGCUUCAUUGUGUGUGGCUGCUGCGUGCCGGCUCGUGUUCCUGCGGCCCGGCAGCCCCCAGAGGUAAUCUUUUAAGAGAUUGUUUAAUCAACCAACUGAAUUUUCUUCCAUUGAGAAUUUUAUAA